rnacentral:lncRNA from 1 species
UGUGAGCCACCAUGCCCCGCCCAAAGGGAGAAUGUUCUAAUGCAGCCCUGUGGGAUGACUUGGCUGCAGGAAGUUACAUAAAGGUGACUUAGGUGUUACAGUGACAUGAGAGACCUAAAGGCUGUCAAAGACUGUGACCUCUACCCCAUGGAGGAUGCCCAUCGCCUGAGGAUGAACCCCCACUCCAGAUCAAAAUAUAAAGGAGCAGGGUUGCAGCUCACCUGGGCUGGGGAUUACCCGGACUCUUCAGAAAACAAAACUUACACUUUGUCAUGGAGCAGCUAGAAAUUCACCUCAACAUACUCAAUAAUUCAGCAUGUUUGAGCACAUAUUCCAUGCCAGGCACAGUGCUGGAACAGGGACAGCUGGAACAAAGUGGGAGACCCUCUAGCCACCAGGAUCCCAGAGAAGAAGCGAAGUGACUUGCCUAGAACACCAACCAAAAAUGACGGAGCCAAAAGGGCCAGAGCUGGGUCAAGGAGGAAGGAGGAGAAGGAAGAGCAUCCUUUAGCCGCCCUCUGACUCUGCCUUUUCGGGUCUCGCUCCUGGCCUCACUGUAGACAUCAUCCCCAGGCACACCUCCUCCGCACCUCCUUCCUGCUAUAGAGUACAGUCCCACAGUUGGAAUCAUCUCUCCUCAUCCCAGUUACAAAGCCAGAGAGGAUUUACAGUCAAAGCAUCUACACCAGCAGUCCCUCUUACUGACACUGAUCAGACAGGGAGGUAGAACUGAUGGAAAACACAGCACAGCAUCAGAAGCAUAGCUUGGGAGCUUAUUAGCAGCAAAGUGCUGUUCUCUGCGGCAUUUUCUGGUGCUCCAGAAAUACAUCCCCUUGGAUGGAGAUACUACCGGGCCAUCUAAUGUGAAAUUUUCUGCUGGAGUGGUUAACGCUGGAGAUUUCCUUGAAAAACAUCGCCACUGAGAGAGGCUGGCUUCAAGUUUCAUAUAUAUGUAUAUGUAUCUGUGUGUGUGUGUGUGUAUGUGUGUGUCCAUGUGUGUGUAU